ensembl:lncRNA
GCGGCUAGAGAGAGAGAGAGAGGCGGCUAGAGAGAGAGAGAGGCGGCUAGAGAGAGAGAGAGAGGCGGCUAGAGAGAGAGAGAGAGGCGGCUAGAGAGAGAGAGAGGCGGCUAGAGAGAGAGAGAGGCGGCUAGAGAGAGGCGGCUAGAGAGGGCGGAGAGAGAGAGGCGGCUAGAGAGAGAGAGAGAGGCGGCUAGAGAGAGAGAGAGGCGGCUAGAGAGAGAGAGAGAGGCGGCUAGAGAGAGAGAGAGAGAGGCGGCUAGAGAGAGAGAGAGAGAGAGGCGGCUAGAGAGAGGCGGCUAGAGAGAGGCGGCUAGAGAGAGAGGCGGCUAGAGAGAGAGAGGCGGCUAGAGAGAGAGAGAGUGGCAGCUAGAGAGAGAGAGAGAGAGAGGCGGCUAGAGAGAGAGAGAGAGGCGGCUAGAGAGAGAGAGAGG